GUGCACGUGUACCGCCACUCUAUUAUAAUAGAAAGGAACUUGUCAAACUCCUACAAGUUUUUGCUCCUUAAUCCCAAUUUUGUAUUGUUUUUCAUUUUUAUCUUCCAACAUCCAGGAAGAAAAUUAAACUAAAACAAAAACACAAAAACAAUAACAACAACAGCAAACUAGCCAAAAUUUUAACCUUUUAUUUUAAAUGAAAAAUAAACAUGGCUUUGGCACAAGCUUUUAUCUACACUAUAGAAAAAAAAAAAUAUUGCUGACUCUAUAUUGCUGGUGCUAGAUAGAGGCGUCGGCAAUUUUUUUCCAGCGAGAAAACUUGCUGGCACUUCUAAAAAGCGUUGGCAAGUAAUGGGCUCCGUCGACGCUUUAGUUAGCGUCCCCAGAAGCCGCCAAUUACCGACGCUUAUAAGCAUCGAAAGGGUUAAUCACCUCCCACCUCUCAGAUGCAGCAAUGGCUUCUCACAUAUUUUCUAUGUUUAAAAAGCAAAAUAGGUAAGUUGCUAUGGGGUGUGGGCGAAGAAGCAGACGCGGCGAUGGUAGGCGGUGCCAUCCUUGCACAGUUGGGUCCGAUAGCGGGACGGACGAAGCCAGCAUUCGAACACCCCGUGGGUGAGCUUGCAGGCGUCGCCCCGCUUGUAGUUGCCCUUCUGAAAGUCUGGGCAGGCUGUGCUGGAGUAAUGGUACUUCCGGGGGUCCCUUUGACGAGCCUUCUUGGGAAUGCCCCCUCGCACACCGCCGCACCGUGAACUCGUACAUCUGGAACUCGUCGCACGAGUAGGCAUCCACCGGCGUGUCUGCCAGCAUCGACUCGCCGGAAUCCUCCCCCGCUGAGUAAGGCUCAUUGCAGGGGAGAUAGCGCUGUAGCACGGCCAGCAUCGCCUCGCCCAGUGCGUAGGGGGAGUAGUGCUCGCUGUCGCUGGUGACCCCGCCCACGAGGAGGUUAUACGCGACCCCCGCUGUCGGAUUGUCGAAGGGGGUCCACAACGAGAUGUGAACCGUUGGAUUGUAAUGACUCCCUUCUCCCAAUUUGGGAGGAUUCCUGGAGUCGCACGUCCGGAGCAUCCAAGAGAACCUGGGUUUCAGCCAGAGAGGGAAAGGAGCGUCGUCAGAAUUAUCCAACUGACUGAUUAGUACUAAUUUUUCUUAAAGUUGGGCCAGAUGACAGACGCUUAACCACCCUUGAGGGUCACUUGGGCCAGACGAUGCUUUUAAGCGUCGCCGGACACCAAACCACCCCCCAACUGCCCCUAUAAAAGGCUAAGGCGAUGGAACCCUAGCCACGGUCAAACAGAGAGAGAGAGAGAUGAGAAGGGGGCGUUCAGGAUGAUGAUCUUUGCCGCUGCCGCCAAAGGGGACGCCAAGCGGGGGGACCGGAUCGCAGUUUGGUGAUGGCACUGAGGAGCGGACGGAAGAAGGGAAAAUAGAGUCGAGGUGUUCUCUUCACGACAAUGAAGGAAAAAUGGAAGAAGAGAUUAGGAGUUGAGGAGUGGACUGAAGAAGAGAUUUGGGAUUCCGAAAUCCUUUUUGUAAUUUGUAAUUUGUAAUUUCUUGAAGAACGGAACACGGAGGUUGGAGUUCAAGUUGGGGUUGGGGUUAGGAGAUUACUCUUUGUAAUUUUUGGGAUUAUUUUUAUUGUAAAAUUUCUGGGGUUAUUUCUAUUGUAAAAGAUAAUUUGACAGUAGGAAAACAUACAUUAUGUU